rnacentral:rRNA from 1 species
GACGAACGCUGGCGGCGUGCUUAACACAUGCAAGUCGAGCGGUAAGGCCCUUCGGGGUACACGAGCGGCGAACGGGUGAGUAACACGUGGGUGAUCUGCCUCGCACUUCGGGAUAAGCCUGGGAAACUGGGUCUAAUACCGGAUAUGACCACGGACUGCAUGGUUUGUGGUGGAAAGAUUUAUCGGUGCGAGAUGGGCCCGCGGCCUAUCAGCUUGUUGGUGGGGUAAUGGCCUACCAAGGCGACGACGGGUAGCCGACCUGAGAGGGUGACCGGCCACACUGGGACUGAGACACGGCCCAGACUCCUACGGGUGGCUG